rnacentral:lncRNA from 1 species
AUGGAGCAAGGACUCCCAGAGUUGGGAGACGUUGUACACUUACUGGGAACUAAAUCCCGCACGAGUUCCCACCCAAGUGCCGCCGCCCCAGCCCACGCACGCGCAUUUGCCCCGUCUCCAGCCCCGGGGUCCUCCUGCCCCUCCCGCCGUCUCCGGGGGCCUUUUCUCCGCUCGGCACCAGGGUGUCCGCCGCGCCGCCUGAUCCUGUUAGCGCGGUACUCUGAGUGCAGUCAGUCCUCGGCGCUGUUUUCUCUGAUUUGCUGUCGACGCCAGGAAGGAAAGACGCGUGCAGAGGACCGCAGAGGGGUGGCCGUGGCUGAGAGGAGACAGCGCCGCAGCACUGAGGGUUUGGGCUUGCAGGCGCUGCAGGAGACCCCCAGGCGGAGUCUUGUCUCGCAGCUAGCGCUGAGCGGGAGGCCUGAGCGGGAAGCAUUGGCGUCCGAGCGACUUCUAGAGCCUGGGGUUCGGCGCUAUGGAGGAGCUCGAUGGCGAGCCAACAGUCACUUUGAUUCCAGGCGUGAAUUCCAAGAAGAACCAAAUGUGUUUUGACUGGGGUCCAGGGGAGAUGCUGGUAUGUGAAACCUCCUUCAACAAAAAAGAAAAAUCAGAGAUGGUGCCAAGUUGCCCCUUUAUCUAUAUCAUCCGUAAGGAUGUAGAUGUUUACUCUCAAAUCUUGAGAAAACUCUUCAAUGAAUCCCAUGGAAUCUUUCUGGGCCUCCAGAGAAUUGACGAAGAGUUGACUGGAAAAUCCAGAAAAUCUCAGUAAGUUGGUUGCUGUUUGGUGUUGAACCCCACACUACACUGUGGAAAGCCAAAUGAAGUACAUUGUUGUCUUUUUGUGUGUUUUAUGGGUUGCGUAAAGAAAUAAGAGACUCCUGGUUCUAGUUGAGGCAUGAGUACUGGACAGUGUACAUUAGCAGUGAUGGGAAGACUUAGCGGGAAUAUGCAAAUGCUAUUGAUGGGCUGGCUUGACAAGCUUUAUUUAUAUUCAUAUUUUACUUACCCUCUAAAGAAAAUUUAGGCCACACAAGCAUGUGAGAGUCAUUGAAUGAGGUCACAUUGUUGGGAGAUUUGAAAAUUAAUAUAAACCUAACAGUUUUGUCUCUAAAAAAUUACGGUUCAGACGUUAUUUGACAACAGACCAGAAAACUCUCGUACUAUUUAUAGAUUAGGAUUUUCUUGAAUUGUAGUUCAUAACUUCAUCAUUAUCAGAGUGGUACUUGUUAAUUGUAGACUUUUGGGACCCACCUCAGAUCCUCAAAAUCAAAAUCUCUGUGGUUGGAUCUUAAAAUCUCCAGCACACUGAAGUUUAAGAACUGUGUUAGGUUUUUGUCAGCGUCCCUUCACAUGGAUGGCUAGGGAAUGGGCAGUGUUGGUAUGUUACUUCUUUGAUAAGCUUUUCACAAAUGAAUCAUUCUGGACAAGACCCAGGUCAGCUUCUGUGUGAGUGUGUGCAAGAGUGAUUAUUGGUUGUUUUUCUGUUUUUUUUCGAGGCAGAGUUUCGCUCUGUCACCCAGGCUGGAGUGCAGUGGCGCGAUCUCCGCUCACUGCAAGCUCCGCCUCCUGGAUUCACGCCAUUCUCCUGCCUCAGCCUCCCGAGUAGCUGGGACUACAGGCGCCCGCCACCACAUCCGGCUAAUUUUUUGUAUUUUUAGUAGAGAUGGGGUUUCACCGUGUUAGCCAGGAUGAUCUCGAUCUCGUGACCUCGUGAUCCACCUGCUUCGGCCUCCCAAAGUGCUGGGAUUACAGACGUGAGCCACCGUGCCUGGCC